CUGGUAAAGCUGUGAAAGGAGACAGAGGGUCUCUGGUGGGACUAACUCCAUAGGCAUUUCAUUGAGAUUAAAUGUGUUUCUUGAGGGAUACUUUGUCCACCCACCACUGCCAAGGAGACCUUAGUCUAUGCCCCGGGUUGCAAUGUCUGAAGCUUUGCUGUCCAAUAUGGUAGCCAUUGGCCACAUGUGGUUAUUGAAUGCUUGUAAAGGUAGGUGGCACAGCUGAGGAAUGGAAUUUUAAAUUUAUUUAAUUUAAAAUUUAAGACAGAUAUUCAAUUCAGUUAUUGGAAAAUGUUUUAUGUUUGAAAAAACUUAGAUGUGUGAACCCACUUUCUCAACAGUGACCUGUAUGAAAUAUAGAUUUUUCUGGUGAAAAUUUAGUAACUGAAUUGUGAUGUUGAGAUGUACUGUAUGUGUAAAAUAUACACUGGAUUUUAAAGACCUAAUAUGAAAAAAUGUUAAAUAUUUUAUGAUAAUAAUAUAUUGAAAUGAUAAUAGUUUGGGUAUAUUGGGUUAAAUAAAAUAAGUAUUUAAAC
rnacentral:lncRNA from 1 species